GAGAGGCUGAGAGCACUAAAGACUGCUAAUCUUUUAACCCCAUGGUUCAACUCCAUGGCUCACUUA
rnacentral:tRNA from 1 species